GGGGUCGACGCGGGGAUGCCGUGCCUGUCUCCUGGGCAGGUUCGCAACGGGCGGGUCGUGUCUACGCUCACAAUGUCGCCGCCCGACGCAAACGACGUGCUCGUGUGGGCAAUGUCGGAUGCAGUAACCCGGCAGCAGAGCAUGCAGGGGAGCCUCGGCGUGCGGGCGGGGCAGGAGGUCAACUUCACGGUG
rnacentral:snRNA from 1 species